AGCAGUGUUUCAGGUUGAAUAGUAUUAAAGACUUCACAUGUGAUUAAAACAGGGAAGAAAUGUUACUAGGUUAGUAUAACAAUAGACUAUUACAUUCUUUUUCAUACUUGCAGAAUUGGAGCAUUAAGAAUAAACCUUCACCUGUAAUUUUCUUUCUUGAUUUCUAUUAUUAAAUGUGUAUUCAAAAAUUUUUGUUUUGUCGGAGUGAACUGCUUUCUUUUAUCAAAAAAUUACGAGAACCACUGGUUUUGACUAUUAUUUUAUCACUCUUUGUGAAACUUCACAAUGUUCGAGAGGACAUUGUGAAUGACAUUACAGCUGAACACAUUUCUAUUUGGCCAUCUUCCAUUCCCAACCUCCAGUCUGUGGACUUUGAAGCUGUGGCAAUCACAGUGAAAGAACUAGUUCGAUAUACACUCAGUAUAAAUCCAAAUAACCAUUCCUGGUUAAUUAUCCAGGCAGAUAUUUAUUUUGCAACAAAUCAGUAUUCAGCAGCUCUUCACUAUUACCUCCAGGCAGGAGCUGUGUGUUCUGACUUCUUUAAUAAGGCUGUGCCCCCUGAUGUUUAUACAGACCAGGUGAUAAAACGAAUGAUAAAAUGUUGUUCUUUGCUGAACUGCCACACACAGGUGGCCAUUUUAUGUCAGUUCCUCAGAGAAAUUGACUACAAAACAGCGUUUAAAUCUCUGCAAGAACAAAACAGUCAUGAUGCUAUGGAUUCCUACUAUGACUACAUAUGGGAUGUUACCAUUUUGGAAUACUUGACUUAUCUUCAUCAUAAAAGAGGAGAAACAGAUAAAAGACAAAUUGCAAUAAAAGCUAUCGGCCAGACAGAGUUGAAUGCAAGCAAUCCAGAAGAAGUGUUACAGCUGGCAGCGCAGAGAAGGAAAAAAAAGUUUCUCCAAGCAAUGGCAAAACUUUACUUUUAA
rnacentral:lncRNA from 1 species